rnacentral:lncRNA from 1 species
CGAUUUGGGCAAAUCACUACCCCAAUCACUUGUUACUAUGCUACAGUCAGGUGAUCUGCCCCAGUGAUUUGGGCAAAUCACCACAUCUGGGCUGCCUCCCAGUAGCGCCCUGUUUUCUGUCUUGGGCUGGACUAUCUGCCUUGAUCAGUAGGUUAAGGAAGGGGAAUCCAAGGGGAUCUCUUCCACAAGAUGAACAGUAAAUCCUUCAUAAAAUUUCUUCAAACGAUGUCCAUUAACUUUGAAAACUUUGCUUGUUUGUGGACUCCGUAUG